rnacentral:rRNA from 1 species
AGUGAACGCUGGCGGUAGGCCUAACACAUGCAAGUCGAACGGCAGCACAGUAAGAGCUUGCUCUUACGGGUGGCGAGUGGCGGACGUGUGAGGAAUACAUCGGAAUCUACUUUUUCGUGGGGGAUAACGUAGGUAAACUUACGCUAAUACCGCAUACGACCUACGGGUGAAAGCAGGGGAUCUUCGGACCUUGCGCGAUUGAAUGAGCCGAUGUCGGAUUAGCUAGUUGGCGGGGUAAUGGCCCACCCAGGCGCCGAUCCGUAGCUGGUCUGAGAGGAUGAUCGGCCACACUGGAGCUGAGACACGGUCCAGACUCCUACGGGAGGCAGCAGUGGGGAAUAUUGGACAAUGGGCGCAAGCCUGAUACAGCCAGACCGCGUGGGUGAAGAAGGCGUUCGGGUUGUAAAGCCCUUUUGUUGGGAAAGAAAAGCAGCAGGUUAAUACCCAGCUGUUCUGACGGUACCCAAAAAAUAAGCACCGGCUAACUUCGUG